CUCUUAAGUUCCAGAGCCAAAUGGCAUUUGCUAGUUGUAGGACAAAACUUUCUAUUGAAGGAGAGAUUCAAAAAUUUCUAAUCAAACCCACAGUAAGGUCCUUUCCUCAACCUUCCUUGCUGAUGGCAAAAGCUUGUUAGAUAUCAGGAGGAAGGGAGGAGGUGUAUUUACACUAACAGUGAUAGUGGGUGCACUGGCCUGAUAGGUGACCACUCCUCCUGUCCACUCUGAUUGCAUGACAGCUGUCUGUAAUUGGCCACACACUUCUAGGUAUAGAUAGAUGCAUUCUCGUGGAGGGAUCCUGCAGACAGCUGCAUUCUUCCAGUCGGGUGCUAUAGUCAGCUCACUUUCAGUGGCUUAUAUUGUAAUCAGCCACAUUCUUACAUUAAUAUGUUAUAGCCCUUCCUCCUUAGGCUGUAUGUUGUUACCCUGUCAAUGUCACUUGCUGUAGUCAAUCAGGCAGGCACAGCCUGAUAGGUGUACGGAAGAGACAGAAGUUUUUUACUGUGAGAGAAGCACAUAUGCUCUGGGUCACUGUAGCACUGUAACCUCAUGCUAUUACCAGACCUCUGUCCUUUAAACUAUAACAUGGAGUCAGAUGGCUCAGCCAUAUGUUGGCUUGCACACGUUUUCAGUGAAGUCACUUCACUAGCAAGGACUGUGCUGUCAGUUUCCAGUGGCCUCUUCUCUAUCUACUGUGCUGGAGUGUCACACUUGAUUUGGUGUCUGUCCCUAAGCAAGCUGAAGCUAGUAUGAAGCGGAGGUCCAUGUCAUUCAUGGUGAUGGUGUUCACUUAUGAUGUGAUGAAGAGGUUGAACUACACUACCUGUUGCUAAUGGAACACAAGCCUUGUUCGGAGCAGAGGUGGGUCAAGGCCCCAUGUGUCUACAUAGCAGGAUAACUUCAGUGAUGGAGAAAUCUUGGAAGUCCUGGCGAUUGCUUUCAGAUGACCCCACAGGUCUUCUCAAGGCGUUUUCUGACAGAAUGAGGAAGAGAAACAGCAGUGGUGAUGGGAAAGCUGUUCUGGUGUCAGUCCUUUGGAAUACAGAGAAAACUUGCUCAAGCCCUGAAAUGGCUAUUUUGCACUUGUCUGCCACCUCAUCUGUCUGCUCCUGUCUGCCAUGUGACGACAUGUGAUGUCUUACUAGCCAAGUAUUUGUGCUAGAAUAUGGAUUUAAUAACAGGGAUGGCAUCAUAUCAACUGCCUAGCAGAGUGGUCCUUGGCCAGUGCUUGCUCCUGCACCAUAUCCAAAAAUUGUCUGGGAUGGGGUUUGUUGGCCUGGGCUGGAGAUGUUCUGGGACCAUUUUUACAAUUCAGCUUUGCAAGAGAUAGUUUCCAGCCCUUGAGAACAUUUUCCAGCACUGUAU
rnacentral:lncRNA from 1 species